CACUAUCGUUAACUGAAUACAUAGGUUAACGAGGCGAACCGGGGGAACUGAAACAUCUAAGUACCCCGAGGAAAAGAAAUCAACCGAGAUUCCCCCAGUAGCGGCGAGCGAACGGGGAGCAGCCCAGAGUCUGAAUCAGCUUGUGUGUUAGUGGAACGGUCUGGAAAGUCCGACGGUACAGGGUGAUAGUCCCGUACACCAAAAUGCACAGGCUGUGAACUCGAAGAGUAGGGCGGGACACGUGGUAUCCUGUCUGAAUAUGGGGGGACCAUCCUCCAAGGCUAAAUACUCCUGACUGACCGAUAGUGAACCAGUACCGUGAGGGAAAGGCGAAAAGAACCCCGGCGAGGGGAGUGAAAAAGAACCUGAAACCGUGUACGUACAAGCAGUGGGAGCACCUUCGGGUGUGACUGCGUACCUUUUGUAUAAUGGGUCAGCGACUUAUAUUCUGUAGCAAGGUUAACCGUAUAGGGGAGCCGCAGGGAAACCGAGUCUUAACUGGGCGUUAAGUUGCAGGGUAUAGACCCGAAACCCGGUGAUCUAGCCAUGGGCAGGUUGAAGGUUGGGUAACACUAACUGGAGGACCGAACCGACUAAUGUUGAAAAAUUAGCGGAUGACUUGUGGCUGGGGGUGAAAGGCCAAUCAAACCGGGAGAUAGCUGGUUCUCCCCGAAAGCUAUUUAGGUAGCGCCUCGUGAACUCAUCUUCGGGGGUAGAGCACUGUUUCGGCUAGGGGGUCAUCCCGACUUACCAACCCGAUGCAAACUACGAAUACCGAAGAAUGUUAUCACGGGAGACACACGGCGGGUGCUAACGUCCGUCGUGAAGAGGGAAACAACCCAGACCGCCAGCUAAGGUCCCAAAGUCAUGGUUAAGUGGGAAACGAUGUGGGAAGGCACAGACAGCCAGGAUGUUGGCUUAGAAGCAGCCAUCAUUUAAAGAAAGCGUAAUAGCUCACUGGUCGAGUCGGCCUGCGCGGAAGAUGUAACGGGGCUAAACCAUGCACCGAAGCUGCGGCAGCGACACUAUGUGUUGUUGGGUAGGGGAGCGUUCUGUAAGCCUGCGAAGGUGACCUGUGAGGGUUGCUGGAGGUAUCAGAAGUGCGAAUGCUGACAUAAGUAACGAUAAAGCGGGUGAAAAGCCCGCUCGCCGGAAGACCAAGGGUUCCUGUCCAACGUUAAUCGGGGCAGGGUGAGUCGACCCCUAAGGCGAGGCCGAAAGGCGUAGUCGAUGGGAAACAGGUUAAUAUUCCUGUACUUGGUGUUACUGCGAAGGGGGGACGGAGAAGGCUAUGUUAGCCGGGCGACGGUUGUCCCGGUUUAAGCAUGUAGGCUGGUUGUCCAGGCAAAUCCGGAUAAUCAAGGCUGAGGUGUGAUGACGAGGUACUACGGUGCUGAAGUAACAAAUGCCCUGCUUCCAGGAAAAGCCUCUAAGCAUCAGGUAACAUCAAAUCGUACCCCAAACCGACACAGGUGGUCAGGUAGAGAAUACCAAGGCGCUUGAGAGAACUCGGGUGAAGGAACUAGGCAAAAUGGUGCCGUAACUUCGGGAGAAGGCACGCUGGUGUGUAGGUGAAGUCCCUGCGGAUGGAGCUGAGACCAGUCGAAGAUACCAGCUGGCUGCAACUGUUUAUUAAAAACACAGCACUGUGCAAACACGAAAGUGGACGUAUACGGUGUGACGCCUGCCCGGUGCCGGAAGGUUAAUUGAUGGGGUUAUCCGUAAGGAGAAGCUCUUGAUCGAAGCCCCGGUAAACGGCGGCCGUAACUAUAACGGUCCUAAGGUAGCGAAAUUCCUUGUCGGGUAAGUUCCGACCUGCACGAAUGGCGUAAUGAUGGCCAGGCUGUCUCCACCCGAGACUCAGUGAAAUUGAACUCGCUGUGAAGAUGCAGUGUACCCGCGGCAAGACGGAAAGACCCCGUGAACCUUUACUAUAGCUUGACACUGAACAUUGAGCCUUGAUGUGUAGGAUAGGUGGGAGGCUUUGAAGCGUGGACGCCAGUCUGCGUGGAGCCAACCUUGAAAUACCACCCUUUAAUGUUUGAUGUUCUAACGUUGGCCCCUGACCGGGGUUGCGGACAGUGUCUGGUGGGUAGUUUGACUGGGGCGGUCUCCUCCCAAAGCGUAACGGAGGAGCACGAAGGUUAGCUAAUCCUGGUCGGACAUCAGGAGGUUAGUGCAAUGGCAUAAGCUAGCUUGACUGCGAGCGUGACGGCGCGAGCAGGUGCGAAAGCAGGUCAUAGUGAUCCGGUGGUUCUGAAUGGAAGGGCCAUCGCUCAACGGAUAAAAGGUACUCCGGGGAUAACAGGCUGAUACCGCCCAAGAGUUCAUAUCGACGGCGGUGUUUGGCACCUCGAUGUCGGCUCAUCACAUCCUGGGGCUGAAGUAGGUCCCAAGGGUAUGGCUGUUCGCCAUUUAAAGUGGUACGCGAGCUGGGUUUAGAACGUCGUGAGACAGUUCGGUCCCUAUCUGCCGUGGGCGCUGGAGAAUUGAGGGGGGCUGCUCCUAGUACGAGAGGACCGGAGUGGACGCAUCACUGGUGUUCGGGUUGUCAUGCCAAUGGCACUGCCCGGUAGCUAAAUGCGGAAGAGAUAAGUGCUGAAAGCAUCUAAGCACGAAACUUGCCCCGAGAUGAGUUCUCCCUGAGACUUUAAGUCUCCUGAAGGAACGUUAAAGACGAUGACGUUGAUAGGCCGGGUGUGUAAGCGCAGCGAUGCGUUGAGCUAACCGGUACUAAUGAACCGUGAGGCUUAACCUU
rnacentral:rRNA from 1 species